rnacentral:rRNA from 1 species
ACGCUCGACACCUACUGGAGGCAGCAGUGGGGAAUAUUGCACAAUGGGGGAAACCCUGAUGCAGCGACGCCGCGUGAGCGAAGAAGUAUCUCGGUAUGUAAAGCUCUAUCAGCAGGGAAGAAGAUGACGGUACCUGACUAAGAAGCACCGGCUAAAUACGUGCCAGNCGCGAGUAUGNGNGGCGNGNGAGAG